rnacentral:misc_RNA from 1 species
AACGCACCUUGCGCUCCUUGGUAUUCCGAGGAGCAUGCCUGUUUGAGUGUCAUGAAAUUCUCAACUCCCCCCGGUGCUUUGCUGCAACGGUGGAAGCUUGGAUUUGGGGGUUUGCUGGCCCGUUACCGGGUUGGCUCCCCUUGAAUGCAUUAGCUAGACUCUCCGACUCGGAGUGGUUCGCGGUGUGAUAAUUAUCUACACCCCGACAGUCGAGCUUCCAAUCGUCUUCGGACAGCUCUAUUGAUCUGACCUCAAAUCAGGUAGGACUACCCGCUGAACUUAA